CAAACAAGUGGAGUGGAAAGCUAUCAUAGCCUUAUCAACCACUUCACUCCAAAAAUGUAUAGCUUUUCAUAUAAUGGUAUGCGCAGCAGGAUUCUUCUAGCAGCCAUGCACUAUAAUGAAAAUGCUGGUAGGCCCCAAGCUGUGACAAAGGCAGGUACAGCACAGUAUAGCAUUGCCUUUCCCAAAUUCAAAAAGGGAGGCUACACUCUGAAAAAGGUCCUAGUAGAUGCAUCUUAUCAAUAUGUUGACAACUGCUUUGAUAUGUUGCUGAGGGAAAUAGAGAAGUCCCCUCACAACAAGCAGCUGAGUGAACCACCACCACCUCUCAGUCAAUCUUUUGACAGACCAGUCAAAGCUGAUGCAAUUGAGAAGUAUUUUACAAGAUUCGGAAAUCAGUAGAGUGGCGGAUACAUUGCCCUGAUGCAGCUGAUAACACAAGAUGGUAUAACUACUCGAUAUUGAAAACCAAGUACUUUCCAGCACCACCGGACAAACUGUCUGUAGGCAAUAUGUCUAUAUUUUGCAUCUUGAGGUCCAUCAUAAGCACGUCCUUUAUAUUGUUGCUUGUAUGCUAGCCAAGCACACUGCAAAGACCAUGGGUUCAAACAGGUUGGCUCCAAUCCUGGAUGAUCUGUCAUACAUACAGGCACUGGUGUAGCUUCAUCCAUCUUGGCUAGCACCUCUGGUACUUCCUGGCAGCAUAAGUUUUCUCUGGCAAGAGGCAGGACUUGGCAAUGUGAACAAGUGCACCUGAAAAAUGAGAAAAUUGGAAU